UACAGAGGGGGCAAGCGUUGUUCGGAAUUACUGGGCGUAAAGGGCGCGUAGGCGGCCGCCUAAGUCAGACGUGAAAUCCCUCGGCUCAACCGGGGAACUGCGUCUGAUACUGGGUGGCUUGAAUCCGGGAGAGGGAUGCGGAAUUCCAGGUGUAGCGGUGAAAUGCGCAGAUAUCAGGAGGAACACCGAUGGCGAAGGCAGGUCUCUGGGCCGAUACUGACGCUGAGGAGCGAAAGCGUGGGGAGCGAACAGG
rnacentral:rRNA from 1 species